GACAGAGGGGGCAAGCGUUGCUCGGAAUCACUGGGCGUAAAGGGCGCGUAGGCGGGAUGGCAAGUCAGUCGUGAAAUCUCUCGGCUCAACCGAGAAACGUCGGCUGAUACUGCCGUUCUUGAGGGAUGCAGAGGAGACUGGAAUUCCCGGUGUAGCGGUGAAAUGUGUAGAGAUCGGGAGGAACACCGGUGGCGAAGGCGGUUCUCUGGGCCUGACCUGACGCUGAGGAGCGAAAGCGUGGGGAGCGAACAGG
rnacentral:rRNA from 1 species